CCUACGGGAGGCAGCAGUGGGGGAUAUUGCACAAUGGGGGGAACCCUGAUGCAGCGACGCCGCGUGGGUGAAGAAGCGCCUCGGCGCGUAAAGCCCUGUCAUCAGGGAAGAAAAUGACGGUACCUGAAGAAGAAGCCCCGGCUAACUACGUGCCAGCAGCCGCGGUAAUACGUAGGGGGCAAGCGUUGUCCGGAUUUACUGGGUGUAAAGGGUGCGCAGACGGCGAUGCAAGCCAGGAGUGAAAGCCCGGGGCUUAACCCGUGGACUGCUCUUGGAACUGCGUGGCUGGAGUGCAGGAGGGGUAGGCGGAAUUCCUGGUGUAGCGGUGAAAUGCGUAGAUAUCAGGAGGAACACCAGUGGCGAAGGCGGCCUGCUGGACUUCAACUGACGUUGAGGCCCGAAAGCGUGGGGAGCAAACAGGAUUAGAUACCCGGGUAGUC
rnacentral:rRNA from 1 species